rnacentral:rRNA from 1 species
UAAAGUUGUUGCAGUUAAAAAGCUCGUAGUUGAAUUCCGGGGUUAGUAAGUUGGUCAUGCCAUUGGUAUGCACUGGCUUUACUGAUUCCUCCUUCUUGACGAACCGUGAUGUCAUUAAUUUGGUGUUGCGGGAAAUCAGGACUGUUACUUUGAAAAAAUUAGAGUGUUUAAAGCAGGCUAACGCUUGAAUACAUUAGCAUGGAAUAAUGAAAUAGGACGUUAAUCCUAUUGUGUUGGUUUCUAGGAUCGACGUAAUGAUUAAUAGGG